GGGUAGGAAUGAUGGGAGUUGUAGUCCAACAACAUCUGGGGACACACAGGUUGAGAAACACUGUGCUAGGGUUUUUUUUAUUAUAAAUUGUUCAGAGAAUAUUUCCUUCGAGAGAAAAUCUGAAACAUGAUCUCCACCACCUGUAGCCUGGGAAAAGGUGCCCCACGCGAUUCUGCUGUGCAUAUAGAUUGGCUCCAAAUCCAACUAGGUCCAGGUGCGCAGCGGAUGAGAUGUAGAGGUAUAAAAAUAGGAUGGGCAUUAUAUGCAGUGGCUGUUAAAAGCCAUAAUUAGAAACUGGCUGUAGCCACUCCAGUGACUCUCAGAAUGUUCUUUAGCCAGGCUACUCUUUCAAGGGAGGGCUAAGGACACUGGGCAUCAUCCAGGAAAUCCCUGAGCAGCAGCUUGGGUGCGCACCCAGGACAUCUCCCUUUUUUCUCAAACAGCAGCUCCUUGCACUGCAUUUUGGUUGAGACUUUAAGGCUCCCCAGAGUUUUGUAGGCAGUUUGGGAGCAUGCGAGAGCUGGCAUCCCCAUCGCCCAUAGAUUUCUGACCACACCGCCCUUCUGGGUUAGGACCAGUGUGCUGUGUAUGGGUCUGUAUCUACUGGCACUCUCAGACAAGAGUAGUUUUGCUCCAGCAGCCAAGUACCUCACUUCUGUGCUUGUCCAAACCACCACUUCGUUGGAGACUCCUGUUGUCAUAGGUAUUGGAUUCUCCACUGAUUUGGCAGUGCAGAGUGUGGAAGCGAGCUUCUUUUCUGCAGGAGUAAAAUCCUGAUCGCGGGAGAGGACCCAUUCGACCUCCCUGGUUUUAGCUGGGAGUGAUUCUAUAUGUGCAUCAAGGUGCAAAGCACAAAAGGGAGCCAAGAACCUUGAAACCAACAGUGACGUUUUUGAGAUGUUAUGUGACACACACACACACAUGCCCAUUUCCCCAUUGGUAUGUUCCUAGUGGUCAUUGUCUCCUGGCAAGGGUCUUCCACUCCUCAACUUGUACUUGAAUUUACUGUGGUAACUUCUGACUAUAGAAAAUGGCAUUGGAAUUGAGGGGGAGACAAUUCUGUUUUCAGUUGCUUGUACCACUUAAAUUUGGGGGGGGGGCAGAGGAGGAGGAGGAGGAAGGAACAAGGGUUGGAGAUAUUGCAUUUCAUGCACUCCUGGCCUUCAUCGUGCCUGGCUGCACCAUUUAUUUAUUUAUUUAUUUUGCAGUUUCCAGCCCUAAGGGUCUAUUUACACUACAGCUGCAAAUCGUUCUUUUUGCCAGUCUAACUGGCAUGGCUUCCCUCUGAAAACGAGCGCUGGGAAUUGUUGUUUGGUGAGGGUGCAGCGAAGUCUCCAUUCGGGGUUUCCGUUCCACAUGGCCUCUCACCACAGAAAUCCCCUUAGAUGAAGGAAUGGCUGUAAAACCAGACUGUGUAGUGUAAAGUUACCCUCUAAAUAUUUCAGCUACAGGAAAUGAGCACUUUUUGUGUAGCAUUUGGUUUCUGUGCAGGAGCGUUUUGGUUCCUGCGUGUUGUGAGAGUAAGGCCUGGCUCACACAUAAUACUAAGCCAUGGUUUUGUUAAGCUGCUGUUUGCUCAACCAACGAUAGGUUAACCUCGACUUUCACAGAUGAUCAGACAGACCAUGGCUUGUUCCUCCAAAGCUACUUUACAGUUGCUCUUGCCUCAUGUCUGUGUUAUUUGUUGAACAUCUAAGUUGGAGCACCAAAACAAACCAUGGUUCAGGAAAGGUGCUGGCUUCACAUAUAACACCAAGCCAUGCCAAGGUUUAUAAACCAGGAACAAGCCAUGGCUUCAAGGUGUGGUUUUGGGCAGAAAGCUGGUCACAGUGAAGCUGCUGGACAGGGUUCACACAUGACGCUAAACCAUGGUUUGCUAAACCAUGGCUCAUCGUUACGUGCCAGCCAGACCCAGUUGUCUCACUGGUUGUCAAAGUUACAGCUCCCUUCUGUUUAAGACCAUGGGAGCUAUUGGGAACCUGGAAGAACAAAGUUUCACAUAUAAAUGGGAUACAGAAGAAUAGAGAGACGGCUAUAGCAACACAUUCUUGUGUGUGGUGCCAGAGAGCUCCGAGGUUACUGCACCAUAAAUCUCAUCCCAUCACCGGACUGAUAUCAGUUGAGAGAAGGAAUAGAGAGUGACUGAGUGAAGCAUACUUUCAGGAUGCACAAAACCCUUCUGAUUCUACCAGAAGUAAACUGUUCUGCAGCUUGGAAGCUUGCUAUUCUCUCCUAUAGUACUGUACACAAUUCAGGCUGCUGUUUUACGGACACUUCAGAAGGAGUAAGCCCCAUUGAACGCAGCGAAACUUAUUAUAGGAUUGUGCUGGUGGUCAAGUAAAAGGUAAAUGUUCAGAAUAGCUUUGAAACCUGUAGAUCUUUGGAGCGCAGUCCACAGAAGUUAUAUUACUUUUGCCACCAACUUGAGUGUGGAACCCCUAGAGAUUUAGUGUCAUUCUUUCAGACUUUGACAUCACAUUUCUACAUCUUGGUUAUAACGUUGUGGCUACAAACCUUUUAUUUAUCCCCACACUUCACUUCAAACUCCACAGAAGGGCUAAUUGUGGAGCCUUUUGGACAGUCGUACUAAAUUAAAUUGUAGAAGGAACCAGCCCUACUCUUUCUUCAACUGCUGCUCUGGGGGUACACACUGGACCCAGUGACUGAUAAGGUUCCCAUCCCAGGCACUAAGUCCAUGCGUGCAUUGCAUGAAGCAUCUAAGGAAACAUGGGAGCCAGGAUGGAGGCCCUGUCACCCUCAAAAGGUGGAGUACAUCCUGUCACAGUCCAAAUGGUCACUCCUACUCUGAAACCGAACUUUUUUGAUCACUCAUUGCUGUUGCGCAAAGGUACGCGGCUUUCACCACAGAGGUAGAAGGGAUAGAGGAGUGUCAUUCUGUGCACAUUAAGACUCCUGGCCCAGUGGCAGUGGCUUGUAGUUUAAAAUGGGGCGCUCAGGCUAUGAAUGUGUGGUUCAAGUCUUUUUCUAGAUCUUUAAGAGCCACCAGGAGCGGCAAGAGCCGAGAAGGCAAAAGGGAAGGAGGAAAGGUGGCUUUGAUCGGGCCAGUCAGAGAGGCAUGAUUGGCCUCACUGAGGACUACAGCCUUAGGAAGGCGUGCUGCUUAGACCAACUUCACAGCCAAACUCUGCAAAGAGAUUUUUUCUUUUUUGCUCAGGGCUAAUGUUGAGUGAAACUUUUAAAGAGCCAGAGAUAACUUUGUCCCAGACCUAGAAUGUGAACGUACUGACCACUCAUGUCUGUCUGUCUGUCCUUUUCUGUCUCAUUUCUGCGGUUCCUCCCCGAUACAAUACAUGCAUUCACAUUAUUUCUCGGAAACAAGAUGCACUUUCAGAUACUUUUUUUGUUGUUAUUUGUUGUUGUUAUUAUUAUUUGUUCGUUGUAAAACUCUUAUUAUAAAAAGUCUGUACUUGCUUUGGAGGAAUGACUUAUUAAAACGAAAACACAGCCACUUUAUUUUGAAAUGAAGUAGAUCAACACAGUGGAACAAACAGGAAUUUUUCAAGAGAGAGAGAAGAAAACAUUUCAAAUUGUUGAAUGAUUCCCCCCCUCCCCCCGGAAUAUGAAAAGUAAAACCAUGAGAUUCCUUAUUAUAAAAUUAUAGGAUUUUACAGUUUUAUGAGGCUUUCUAUUGUGACUUUUAUGGAAUCAAGAAAUGAAGAAGAUGAGAUAUUUUAGCAUUUAUAUUUUUCAAAAUUAAAUGUAUACUGAAAAUAAAGUAACUUUAUGCAUUU
rnacentral:lncRNA from 1 species